ACUUCCUUAUGGUAGAGUUGUUUCAAGAAUUUUGGAAUUCCAUGAUGUUCCGCUUCAAAGAGAACCAAAGACUCCUAUGACGGCUAGAAACUGUGAAAUCAAUGAGGUUACCGCAACUAAGAACACAAUGUUCCGCUUCAAAGAGAACCAAAGACUCCUAUGACGGCUAGAAACUGUGAAAUCAAUGAGGUUACCGCAACUAAGAACACCGACAUUAUUAUCGGACCAAAUGGAGUGUUUCGGUACAAGGAUACAGUCGCUUCUUCUGCUCCUCCACCAACUCCGGAAGGUGAUAUCACAAAUUCUAUGCUUUAUAACAAGAUGUGUUCCAUUG
rnacentral:lncRNA from 1 species